GAGGUGGGAGGGAGGAUAGUGCUGCUCACAACCUAUUUAUGUCAAAGGUUGCUGAAGUGAAUAAUGCACAUCUCAAAUACUUUCUAAUUACAGAUGGUUUCAUGGAAAAAGGACUAAAUCACAUUCUUUGUUGAACAUUCUGAUUGCUGCUGGGACAAUCCUGAGAAACGAUGAAUACGAACCUGCGAUGGGAGUUGGUGUGGACGAGACGAAUCUAGGUGGGGUACUGUGCUACAAGGUACAGGCAGUUCUCUGGUCUCAGAGAGUGGCCUCAGUGUUCUACUGUCUGCUCAGCCUCUCUAGGUUCACAGGCCUGCCAUUGUGGCUCAGUGUAGUGUGUACACACCCAACCGCCAGAGGCCAACAAAAAACACAUGAGCCAAAAUAACAAGCACAUAUCUGUGGUGGCACAGAACUUCAGUCCCAAAUGCCACCCUACUCCCUAUAUAGUGCACUACCUUUGACAAGAGCCCCAUGGGGAGGUAGUACCCUAAUAGGAAGGGAAUAGGAUACAAUUUGAGACACGGCUUCCCCGUUCAGUGUAAACUGAAACUGAAUGGUUACGUGGCUAUUUAUAACUCUUCAACGUUAGCCUAUCCUGCUCAUUUGCAAAGUCGAUGAAGCCGGUGAGAGACGUGCCGUGAGGCUGAUGAGACGGCGUCAUGUAACAUUUAGUAUUAUGGAAUUAUUUCCAGCCGCCAGAGACACAUGAAGUAAAUCUAAUCACAAUGUCCAUUACUUUACAAAAUUCUAUAAUCAUCCCAUUCGUUGAAGCAAGUGGAUAACUUGACUUUAAAUCGUAAAACUUUAAUGACUUUAAUAUUUUUAAGACAUUCAGGCUAAAUCCAAAUGUGUGUUAAAAAUGGCCUUUGUCGUUCCAUUUGUACUAAUUAGAAGUUUAUAAAAGGAUGAAUAACACUUAUCGGAGGUUAUAAGGCUUCAUAACACUUAUCUGAGGUUAUAAGGCUUCAUAACAUGCCCUGACAUGUUGAGGCUCUGAAAGAACAUGUCGUUCUAAAAUAACAUCUGACUCAUUCUUUUAGCCCUUCUAGGAAGGAGAGGGGGAGCAGACUGGAAAAGAUGCCAACGAUACCAGAGAAGAUCAAAAACCUUCUGCUGCUUCAAGGACAAAUACAAGUUUUUAGAUGGAUUUUGAUGCACAGGAUACUACUAUCAACAAAACAAAAGCAUUUAAAAUGAAUCUUCCACUUUUCAUUUUGUCCAUCCAUUAAAAACAUUUGUGAAUGAUUUCACUAAUCCAAAUCAAGGAGCCAUUUCUGACCGGUACACCUUUUCCUUUUUAGAAGUUGUGGUUCGUUAAACCAAGGAAAGUCGUGACGUUUCUCUCGGUCUCAAUGACCAUUAGUUCCAUGUAUCUUCUGUUGUUGAUUCACUGAUAUCAGUUUAUUCUCUGUUCUAACCAAAGGACUAGCAUCAUAAGGACUAGCAUCAUGGACUAGCAUCAUGUACUAGCAUCAUAAGGACUAGCAUCAUGGACUAGCAUCAUAAGGACAAGCAUCAUGGACUAGCAUCAUAAGGACAAGCAUCAUGGACUAGCAUCAUGGACUAGCAUCAU